GACGAACGCUGGCGGCGCGCUUAACACAUGCAAGUCGAACGGAAAGGCCUGCUUUCCCUUGUGGAUUGCGGGUACUCGAGUGGCGAACGGGUGAGUAACACGUGAGUGAUCUGCCCCCAACUUGGGUAUAAGCCUGGGAAACUGGGUCUAAUUCCCGAUAGGACUGCAGGGUGGUGCCUGUGGUGGAAAACGAUUUUCUAGUGGUUGGGGAUGAGCUCGCGGCCUAUCAGCUUGUUGGUGGGGUAAUGGCCUACCAAGGCGGCGACGGGUAGCCGGCCUGGGGGGGGGGGCGGCCAGAUGGGGACUGAGAUACGGCCCAGAGUGCUACGGGAGGCAGCAGUGGGGAAUAUUGCACAAGGGGCGGAAGCCUGAUGCAGCGACGCCGCGUGGGGGAUGCCGGCCUUCGGGUUGUAAACUCCUUUCGACCGCGAGGAAGCCACCUGGUUGGAAGGGUGGUGACGGUAGUGGUAGAAGAAGCACCGGCUAACUACGUG
rnacentral:rRNA from 1 species